UCGAAGCAGAAAACUGUGUCUUACUGAUUAAGCUGUCGUUUUGGAAAGAAUUUGACAUUCGCGUUUUUAGUUACUCGUAAUAUUAGUUUUCACACGCGAAGCUGUUUCGAAGACGUGUAACAUGAUCGUUUGAAAACCUUCAAUUAUGUCUUUUGUUAGUUUCUAAAGGCAUAGUGUUUACAGCGAACAGUAACAACGGCGUUGUGUUAUAAGACCCAAACGAGGUCAUCGAACAAAGAUGAGACGUGUUGUUAUGCACGUUUACAUAGUGAAGACUGUAAUGCCGUAAAUACAGCAUAAUGCAUGACGUGAAGGAGUUUUAUAAUGUGUCAGUAAAGAGUAUUCUUGCAAACAAAUGCUACUUCGAAACAAAACUCUAGGCUUCAAUUGAAAAACAAGCUCUGUGUUAAACGCCUUAAAAACAAAUUGAGGAAAGUGUCUUUGUACCACUAGGCGCUUUUAGAUUAUCCAGCGUAAUGUCGUCACCUGUGGUAGAUGGGAAUGUCAUGAGUCCCCAGCCCUCACUUGGCCAGAGUAAAGGGCGAAAAGAACGGAGAAAAGAAUGGUGGGAUAAAGCAAAGGAAGUCCGCAGCAAGCUGCGUGACAGGAGCACACUUUCCAAGAAAGAGAAUUUUCAGCUUCAGCCUCAGGUAGUCUUACAAAAAGUAGACAGUUCUAGAGGCUUUCGAUCCUCAGUGUUAGCGGUUCCAGCACCAGAAUCAACCAAAAAGUUGACAGUACCAGCCAGCAAGGCUGGUGGUCAACAGGUCAAACAGCGCCCUCGACCCAAAGUUCAGCCUAAACAAGACUUGGUACCAAAGCAUGACAAAAAAAA
rnacentral:misc_RNA from 1 species